AGCAGCAGCCGCGGUAAUACGUAUGUCGCGAGCGUUAUCCGGAAUUAUUGGGCAUAAAGGGCAUCUAGGCGGCCGGAUAAGUCUGGGGUGAAAACUUGCGGCUCAACCGCAAGCCUGCCCUGGAAACUAUGCGGCUAGAGUACUGGAGAGGUGGACGGAACUGCACGAGUAGAGGUGAAAUUCGUAGAUAUGUGCAGGAAUGCCGAUGAUGAAGAUAGUUCACUGGACGGUAACUGACGCUGAAGUGCGAAAGCUAGGGGAGCAAACAGGAUUAGAUACCCCAGUAGUCCCUGUCUCUUAUAC
rnacentral:rRNA from 1 species